UGGGGAAUCUUAGACAAUGGGCGCAAGCCUGAUCUAGCCAUGCCGCGUGAGUGAUGAAGGUCUUAGGAUCGUAAAGCUCUUUCGCUAGGGAUGAUAAUGACAGUACCUAGUAAAGAAGCCCCGGCUAACUCC
rnacentral:rRNA from 1 species